UCAACGAAUUCAAAGUACAAUUACUUUGAGAAGUAGGAGAAGCUAAGCAACAGGACAGAAUUCAUUUGAGGCAUUGCUUUCUAGAUUACCGGUAUAUAGUGGAGUCAUAGAUUGUCCUAUUGUUUUAUGUGGAUAUGAGGAGCAGUAGUCAAUGAAUAAUUUUGUGAUGAGAGAAUUAGCUCCUCAGAUGUAAGUGGAAGGGAAGCUAUAUACAUUAUAUAUUUAAAUGAAAUUAACAACAGGAUUAGAUAUUGAGGAGAUCCUAUAGCUACAGUAUAUAUAAAUGUAACUGCAACUGUAUUCCAAGAGUCUGAUGGCUGAUAAUGUAUUACAGGAUUUUAUCAUUCAAGCAACAUCUUAGAAGGAUAAGUGCAAAUAUAUGAAGGAAGCCUUGGGUACAAAUAGCAAUUACAGCAAUUACAUGCAGGAGAGAACUCUUAACAUUACUAACAGACAUGUAGUCAUUAUAUGGGAGUUGUGUAUUCAAGAAAUCUAAAACACAUGGAAUUAAAUAUCGUGUAUAUUUUUUCAACCACAAGUACUCUCAGAAUAUAAUACAAUUCAAAUUCAAAUUAUUGUGCCAACAUGACAAUUACAGUCUAAAAAUGGAAAAUGCAUGUUUUAAACUGAUUUUUAUAUAAAUAUUUGAAAUAACAAGAA